UACAGAGGGUGCGAGCGUUGUCCGGAAUCACUGGGCGUAAAGGGCGCGUAGGCGGCAAUUCAAGUCAGCUGUGAAAUCUCCGGGCUUAACUCGGAACGGUCAGCUGAUACUGCUUUGCUAGAGUGCAGAAGGGGCAAUCGGAAUUCUUGGUGUAGCGGUGAAAUGCGUAGAUAUCAAGAGGAACACCUGAGGUGAAAGACGGGUUGCUGGGGCUGACACUGACGUGAGGCGCGAAAAGCUAGGGUAGCAAAACGGG
rnacentral:rRNA from 1 species